CACAUACUCUUUUUAUUUCGAAUUACUUGUCGCAGAAAUGGAUGUAUCUAGAUGUAUUUUAGUUCUAAGUACAUCUAUUUCUGCGACGAGUAAUUUGAAACAGAGGAAGUACUUG
rnacentral:pre_miRNA from 1 species